GAUGAACGCUAGCGGCAGGCCUAAUACAUGCAAGUCGGACGGGAUUUGGGAGCUUGCUCCUAAUGAGAGUGGCGCACGGGUGCGUAACACGUAUGUAACCUACCUUAAUCAGGGGGAUAGCCUCUCGAAAGAGAGAUUAACACCGCAUAAUAUAUUUUUAUGGCAUCGUAGAAAUAUCAAAUAUUUAUAGGAUUAAGAUGGGCAUGCGGAACAUUAGCUAGUUGGUAAGGUAACGGCUUACCAAGGCUACGAUGUUUAGGGGAUCUGAGAGGAUGACCCCCCCACACUGGUACUGAGACACGGACCAGACUCCUACGGGAGGCAGCAGUAAGGAAUAUUGGUCAAUGGGCGCAAGCCUGAACCAGCCAUGCCGCGUGCAGGAAGACGGCCCUAUGGGUUGUAAACUGCUUUUGUACCGGAAUAAACCCUUUUACGUGUAGAAGGCUGAAUGUACGGUAAGAAUAAGGAUCGGCUAACUCCGUGCCAGCAGCCGCCGUAA
rnacentral:rRNA from 1 species